CUAUUCUAACUAGUCUGAUUUUUGACAUCCCUGAUCUGGAUAUAUUUCUUGAGUAUCUGAUUACUUGUUUCAGCUUGACUUUGGUUUGUUUUUGACCUCCCUUUACCUAUUACGCUCAUUUAACCCAGCCACUCUAAUAACUGGUAUACGUACUUACUUUUCUUUUCUGACUGUCCCUUUUUGGUGGGUUCAUACACUGUGUGUUGGGCUGUACAUAACAUUGACACUAGGAGUCUCUAGCUAUAAUCCAACUUUUUGGGAUGUGUAAUUCCAAAGCUACCUUUUGAAUCUUUUUAAACAUUGAUAAGAGAGCCUUAAGAAAUGCAAGGUAAAAAGGCGGUUAAAG